rnacentral:rRNA from 1 species
AACGAACGCUGGCGGCGUGGAUUAGGCAUGCAAGUCGUACGCGAAAGGUUCCUUCGGGGGCCGAGUAGAGUGGCGAACUGGUGAGUACAAGGUGAAUAACGUGCCUCGAAGUGGGGGAUAACUUCGCGAAAGCGGAGCUAAUACCGCAUGGUCUUUCUUAUAUAACAGUGAGAAAGUAAAGCAGCAAUGCGCUUCGAGAUCGGUUCACCUCCCAUUAGCUAGUUGGUGGGGUAAUGGCCCACCAAGGCUUCGAUGGGUAGCUGGUCUGAGAGGAUGGUCAGCCACACUGGGACUGAGAUACGGCCCAGACUCCUACGGGGGGCAGCAGUCUAGAGGCUUCGACAAUGCCCGAAAGGGUGAUCGAGCGACGCCGCGUGCGGGAUGAAGGGCUUCGGCUUGUAAACCGCUUUUCCUUGGGAAGAAGGCCCGCUUCGUGAAAGUGGGAUUGACGGUACCAGGGGAAUAAGCCCCGGCUAACUCCGUGC